CAUGUUUAUAUUUGAUUGGAUAAUUGAGAUCGAAAAAAAUAGAAAAGGUAUGUAAAUUGAUAAAUGGAUAACGUGGACAGCCUGACUAGAUAUCCUCGGAGAUGGUGGACGGACCGGAUCCGUAGGGAACCCUACUAGGAACGUGGUCUCUCAUAUCGGAUGGGGUAUGGAGACUUUAUAUAUUUUGGCGCCUGUACCGGACGGAAUAU
rnacentral:lncRNA from 1 species